rnacentral:rRNA from 1 species
UACGAAGGGUGCUAGCGUUGCUCGGAAUUACUGGGCGUAAAGCGCACGUAGGCGGCUUUUUAAGUCAGAGGUGAAAUCCUGGAGCUCAACUCCAGAACUGCCUUUGAUACUGGAGAGCUUGAGUCCGGGAGAGGUGAGUGGAACUGCGAGUGUAGAGGUGAAAUUCGUAGAUAUUCGCAAGAACACCAGUGGCGAAGGCGGCUCACUGGCCCGGUACUGACGCUGAGGUACGAAAGCGUGGGGAGCAAACAGG